rnacentral:rRNA from 1 species
AUGGCGGUCCGGUGGCUGUUGCUGCUUUUCGUGGGCCUCGCCGGCGGCGGGGUCCAUGGCCAGGUUGAUAACUUAGGCUUUGUAAGCAUCGACUGCGGCCUGCCGGAAAAUGUCGUCGGCUACGUGGAUAACGGCACCGAACUCCGGUACGUCUCAGACAUGGGCUUCAUCGACACGGGCACCAACCACAAUUUGUCGGCCGAGUACAUCAAGCCAUCGAUAGGCAAGAUUUGGCACACGGUGCGGAGCUUCGCCGGUGGCAGCGUCGGUGCGCGUAGCUGCUACACGGUCCGGUCCCUCGUGUCCGGGCUCAAGUACCUCAUCCGGGCGGGAUUCAUCUACGGCAACUACGACGGCCUCAACCGGCUGCCCGUCUUCGACCUCCACAUCGGCGUCAACUACUGGCAAACCAUCAACAUCUCGGUAGCCGGCGUGAUGGCUGAGAUCAUCACCGUCGUACCUGGCGACUCCAUACAGGUGUGCCUUGUGAACACCGGCUCCGGUACGCCGUUCAUCUCUAGCCUGGACGUCAGGCCCCUAGAGAACAAGUUCUAUCCUCACGCGGACGAGUCACAGGGGCUGGUUCUGGUGUCCAGGACCAACUUUGGCGCAAGUGAUACCACAUUCGUUAGGUACCCAGAAGACAAGUUCGACCGUAUAUGGUCCCCAUGGAGCAACUCGACAAUUUGGUCGGUGAUCUCGACGACUGAGAAGGUGCAGAAAAGCGCCACCAACGGCAACGACACUUUCGAGCCACCGUUGCCCGUGAUGCAGACUGCCAUCACGCCCAUCAACUCCUCCAGCCCCAUCGACUUCACCUGGGAUGCCCAGGCCAGCACCACCAACAACCCAAACCCCGGCACCAAACCCGUCUAUGCCUCCAACCAGUACAACAUCUCACUGGAUGCCACCGUGAACUCGACACUUCCGCCGAUCAUCAACGCUGCCGAGAUCUACUCUGUCAUCCCCACCACCAGCAUAGCCACUACCACUCAAGAAGAUUUAUGUGUUGCUGCUGAGAAUGCCACAGUUUCUGCCAUCUCGGCCAUCAGAGACAAGUACCAUGUGAAGAAGAACUGGAUGGGUGAUCCAUGUGCGCCCAAGAAUUUUGUGUGGAAUGGAUUGCGUUGUAGCUAUGCUGCUUCUAGCCCGUCAACUGUCACAGGCUUGAAUCUAUCUUCCAGUGGUCUCAGUGGCAACGUGUCAUCUUCUUUGGCUAGUAUUAGAGGUUUACAGUACUUGGAUUUGUCACACAACAAUCUGACGGGCUCAAUUCCUGAGAGCCUUUCACAAUUGUCGUCGCUCGUGUUUCUAUAUGGUAACAAUCCAAACCUCUGUGGCAAUGGAAAUUCUUGCCAACCUCCUAAAAAUAAGAGCAGCUCUAAGGUUGUCGUCUAUGUACUUACCCCAAUAGUUGUAGUGUUCGUGAUUGUGCUUUCGUCAGUUAUGUUCCUUUGCAUGCGAAGGAGAAUGCAAGGAACAACAAGCAACCACGUCAAGGCACAAAACGAGGCAAAUAUCACGCCCUUGCACUCCCAAAACAACAACGAGCACGAUUCAUUGCGUUUGGACAAUCGACGGUUCAAGUAUGAUGAACUCGUGGCCGUGACAAACGGCUUCCAGCGAGUGAUCGGCCGAGGAGGAUUCGGGAAAGUGUAUGCUGGAUGUUUGGAGGAUGGCACACAAGUGGCUGUCAAAUUGCGUUCUGAAUCUUCAGAUCAAGGUGUACAAGAAUUCCUAGCAGAGGCUCAGACCUUGGCUAAGAUUCAUCACAAGAAUCUCGUGUCCUUGAUUGGCUACUGCAAGGACAGGGAGUACAUGGCCCUUGUCUACGAGUACAUGUCUGAAGGAGCCUUGCAUGAACAUCUAAGAAGGAGAGAGAACAAUGCAAGGUGUUUAACCUGGAGACAGAGUCUUCGUAUCGCACUGCAAUCCGCGCAAGGACUAGAGUAUCUGCACAAGGGAUGCAACCCGCCCCUCAUCCACAGGGAUGUGAAGACGUCCAACAUAUUGCUGAAUGCAAACCUGGAGGCAAAGAUCGCCGAUUUUGGCCUGCUCAAGGCUUUCAACAGUAACAAUGAUACCCAUGUGUCCACGGCCCGGGUGGUCGGCACACGCGGUUACCUUGCCCCUGAGUACCUAACAACAUUUCAAUUAACCAACAAGAGUGACGUGUUCAGCUUCGGUGUGGUGCUUCUCGAGAUAAUCACAGGGCAACCUCACAUCCUAAACGAUCCAGAGCCGACAAGCAUUGUCCAGUGGGUGCGACAGCGCCUCGCCCAUGGCAACAUUGAAACUGUAGUAGAUGUGCGCAUCCACAACGAUCAUGAUGUCAACAGCGUGUGGAAAGCCACAGAGACUGCGCUCAAAUGCACGGCCCAGCUACCAGAGCAACGGCCCACGAUGACUGACGUGGUGUUACAACUACAGGAGUGCCUUAAGCUUGAGGCCACGCGCAAGGACGUGAAUGCUUGA